AGAGUUUGAUCCUGGCUCAGGAUGAACGCUAGCGACAGGCUUAACACAUGCAAGUCGAGGGGCAGCACAGGUAGCAAUACCGGGUGGCGACCGGCGCACGGGUGAGUAACGCGUAUGCAACUUACCUAUCAGAGGGGGAUAACCCGGCGAAAGUCGGACUAAUACCGCAUGAAGCAGGGGCCCCGCAUGGGGAUAUUUGCUAAAGAUUCAUCGCUGAUAGAUAGGCAUGCGUUCCAUUAGGCAGUUGGCGGGGUAACGGCCCACCAAACCGACGAUGGAUAGGGGUUCUGAGAGGAAGGUCCCCCACAUUGGUACUGAGACACGGACCAAACUCCUACGGGAGGCAGCAGUGAGGAAUAUUGGUCAAUGGCCGAGAGGCUGAACCAGCCAAGUCGCGUGAAGGAAGAAGGAUCUAUGGUUUGUAAACUUCUUUUAUAGGGGAAUAAAGUGGAGGACGUGUCCUUUUUUGUAUGUACCCUAUGAAUAAGCAUCGGCUAACUCCGUGCCAGCAGCCGCGGUAAUACGGAGGAUGCGAGCGUUAUCCGGAUUUAUUGGGUUUAAAGGGUGCGUAGGUGGUGAUUUAAGUCAGCGGUGAAAGUUUGUGGCUCAACCAUAAAAUUGCCGUUGAAACUGGGUUACUUGAGUGUGUUUGAGGUAGGCGGAAUGCGUGGUGUAGCGGUGAAAUGCAUAGAUAUCACGCAGAACUCCGAUUGCGAAGGCAGCUUACUAAACCAUAACUGACACUGAAGCACGAAAGCGUGGGGAUCAAACAGGAUUAGAUACCCUGGUAGUCCACGCAGUAAACGAUGAUCACUAGCUGUUUGCGAUACACUGUAAGCGGCACAGCGAAAGCGUUAAGUGAUCCACCUGGGGAGUACGCCGGCAACGGUGAAACUCAAAGGAAUUGACGGGGGCCC
rnacentral:rRNA from 1 species